rnacentral:rRNA from 1 species
GAGCGGACAGAAUUGGGAGCUUGCUCCCUGAUGUUAGCGGCGGACGGGUGAGUAACACGUGGCCGUAACCUGCCUGUAAGACUGGGAUAACUCCGGGAAACCGGGGCUAAUACCGGAUGCUUGUUUGAACCGCAUGGUUCAAACAUAAAAGGUGGCUUCGGCUACCACUUACAGAUGGACCCGCGGCGCAUUAGCUAGUUGGUGAGGUAAUGGCUCACCAAGGCAACGAUGCGUCGAGCCGACCUGAGAGGGUGAUCGGCCACACUGGGACUGAGACACGGCCCAGACUCCUACGGGAGGCAGCAGUAGGGAAUCUUCCGCAAUGGACGAAAGUCUGACGGAGCAACGCCGCGUGAGUGAUGAAGGUUUUCGGAUCGUAAAGCUCUGUUGUUAGGGAAGAACAAGUACCGUUCGAAUAGGGCGGUACCUUGACGGUACCUUUAACCAGAAAGCCACGGCUAACUACGUGCCAGCAGCCGCGGUAAUACGUAGGUGGCAAGCGUUGUCCGGAAUUAUUGGGCGUAAAGGGCUCGCAGGCGGUUUCUUAAGUCUGAUGUGAAAGCCCCCGGCUCAACCGGGGAGGGUCAUUGGAAACUGGGGAACUUGAGUGCAGAAGAGGAGAGUGGAAUUCCACGUGUAGCGGGGUGAAAUGCGUAGAGAUGUGGAGGAACACCAGUGGCGAAGGCGACUCUCUGGUCUUUGUAACUGACGCUGAGGAGCGAAAGCGUGGGGAGCGAACAGGAUUAGAUACCCUGGUAGUCCACGCCGUAAACGAUGAGUGCUAAGUGUUAGGGGGUUUCCGCCCCUUAGUGCUGCAGCUAACGCAUUAAGCACUCCGCCUGGGGAGUACGGUCGCAAGACUGAAACUCAAAGGAAUUGACGGGGGCCCGCACAAGCGGUGGAGCAUGUGGUUUAAUUCGAAGCAACGCGAAGAACCUUACCAGGUCUUGACAUCCUCUGACAAUCCUAGAGAUAGGACGUCCCCUUCGGGGGCAGAGUGACAGGUGGUGCAUGGUUGUCGUCAGCUCGUGUCGUGACCGAUGUUGGGUUAAGUCCCGCAACGAGCGCAACCCUUGAUCUUAGUUGCCAGCAUUCAGUUGGGCACUCUAAGGUGACUGCCGGUGACAAACCGGAGGAAGGUGGGGAUGACGUCAAAUCAUCAUGCCCCUUAUGACCUGGGCUACACACGUGCUACAAUGGACAGAACAAAGGGCAGCGAAACCGCGAGGUUAAGCCAAUCCCACAAAUCUGUUCUCAGUUGGAUAUCGCAGUCUGCAACUCGACUGCGUGAAGCUGGAAUCGCUAGUAAUCGCGGAUCAGCAUGCCGCGGUGAAUAGCCGUUCCCGGGCCUUGUACACACCGCCCGUCACACCACGAGAGUUUGUAACACCCGAAGUCGGUGAGGUAACCUUUA